rnacentral:rRNA from 1 species
CAGUCGCCACGGUAAUACGGAGGGGGCUAGCGUUGUUCGGAAUUACUGGGCGUAAAGCGCACGUAGGCGGCUUGGUAAGUUAGAGGUGAAAGCCCGGAGCUCAACUCCGGAAUUGCCUUUAAGACUGCCGAGCUAGCAGGUGAGAGAGGUGAGUGGAAUUCCGAGUGUAGAGGUGAAAUUCGUAGAUAUUCGGAAGAACACCAGUGGCGAAGGCGGCUCACUGGCUCAUACUGGACGCUGAGGUGCGAAAGCGUGGGGAGCAAACAGGAUUAGAUACCCGCGUAGUCCCUGUCUCUUAUAC